CCAUCAGAACUGAUUCCCUCAACCAAAAAUCAAGAUCAAAAACUUCAAUUUCACUCCCUUCUCCUUCCUGUAAUUUCGAACCACCGCAAACACCACCGCAACCACCGGCUACCACCACUGCCACCUCCGUCCAGCACAGCAAACCACCCUAACCACCUUCGCCCCGCGGCACCACCGCACGCACCACCUCCUUCCCUCUCCCUCUUCCUUUCCCCCGCGCGCAUCCCCUGCCCCUUCCCCUGCUUCCUCCUCCCUCGCCCCGCCGCACCAACACCACACCACACACCACCAACUCCAGUCACCCUCACCACCUCGCCAACCACCUCCACCAUCAAUUCCGGCGAGCCACCGCCCGAAACCACCUUGAAACACCCUCGAAUUUUCCCCUGUUUCGCCCACUUCGCGCUUCAUUUUCUCGCCCCCUCGCCGCUCCGCCACCACCAAACCACAGCCAUCACCGUCGCCCUCGUCGUCGAGCCACCCCAGCCAACCUCCCUUCCUCCCUCCUCUUUCUCCUCCUCCUCGUGCAUCCCUUCUCCCCUCCCCUGUCCCGCACCCUGCUCCCAGAAAACCAAAACCAAAUUUUGGUUUUCUUUGGUUUUACUCUCCUUUAAAAACCCACAAUUAAAUUGGGCCAUCUUAUUUGGGCUUUUGGAAACUGGACUCGGAGCUCAGGACGAACGAACCAACGAAAACCCUUAGCAAAUCGCGGAAGUGAGGUACUGAUGGGGACGAUGGACACGAGUAGUGGCGAGGAAUUUCACGUUAAUAAUAUUCACCUAGUUUAUGCUUAAAGUUUUAAUAGUUUUAAUUAAAGACUUUUAGUAAGUUAUGUACUUUUAUUUUGAUAAUAUAAAGGAUUAUUAUAUAUAUUUUGGAGUAUU